UCCCUUGGGCUGCAGCACCCUCC
rnacentral:miRNA from 1 species